UACGUAGGGGGCAAGCGUUGUCCGGAUUUAUUGGGCGUAAAGAGCGUGUAGGCGGCCUUACAGGUCAGCUGUGAAACAUCGAGGCUCAACCUCGAGACGUCGGUUGAAACCGUAAGGCUAGAGUCCGGAAGAGGAGAGUGGAAUUCCCGGUGUAGCGGUGAAAUGCGUAGAUAUCAGGAGGAACACCUGUGGUGUAGACAGCUUUCUGGACCAUUGCUGACGCU
rnacentral:rRNA from 1 species